GGCUGCUUUCUUCUGGGAGUUUUCCAGUGAACCCUUGCCUUCAGGAUGGGGUUGAUCCUUUCUGAAAAGGAAAUGUCUGGUUUGUCCCAGAAAGCACAUCUGAUGGCUGGAAGGCCACUGAAAACUGAGCAGAUCGAGAGACUUCGCAUCUCUGAUGUGGUGAUGAGACUACCGGGAGCCUUUAAGCAUGGUCUUCAGGCAUUCCUUCAGAGCUGCUCAGAAGGUGCUCAUUCUUAGGAAUAUUCCAUAAAAGUUUAUGGAUGAAGAUGCUGUCCCAACAAAACUGCCAUAAAGGUAGCUCUGUCACUUACGUAUAGAAACAAAGAGCCCUGCUUCCAUACAGCCACCCGUUUGAGGCUGGUUUCUUGCUCUGAGGUGCUGCAGCUGCAACACUGAGAAGGCUUCAGAGGAAUUACCUUAAUUAGCUCCUUGAGCUGGAUCCUGCAGCACAGCUCUCCCUGGCUAAAAGCAAAAAUUCCAGCGGUGACAAUGAGUUACUUAACCAAACUGUUCUGUAAGAAGCCAGCAGUUGUUAACCUCAAUUUAAAAAAAAAAAACAACAAAAACCCUCAGAAAUAAAAUGCUGCACUCCAUACAAAGUGCACUUGUUAUGACAUUAUAUAAUUCCACUUCUGUCCUUAAGGUUGCCUGAAACACGUUCACUGAAAGCCUAACUCACUGUGAACAAAAGCCAGGCCAGCUACACGAGACUGUCAUAUCUCUUCUGCAGCCCCAAGUUAGUGACUGAGGUACAGAACUGAAAGUGUUGGUUUGCUGUUGUAUGGCAGAAGAUUUUAGGGUUAUGCAAAAGCCAAAGCCAGGAAUGACUCAAGAGGCAUGUGUGGACUCUGGGUACCUCAUCCUGUCAGCCUGAUCAGGUCACCAGAGGCUAAAUGGAGUGUCAGAACUUCUCAUGAUGUCCUGUAAAGUCUAAAGAUGAAUUCACCUCUACAUCUCUCCUACUUGGAGAACUGUGCCUCCAGUGCUUUCACUGUUAAAGAACAUCCUGCCAGUAGAGCAGUUGGAGAAAGUCUGAAAGCAUGUUUUUGGAAGUCCUGUUGGAGCUGGUAUAUAGAGUGAUGUGAAAUACCUUCAGCAGUGCUACUCAUUUGUCACCGGUGCAAGAAACAGAAAAGCUACUACAAGUAAUGAGCAGGACUGGAACAGGCAGGUUACUUGCUGGAUAUCCAGAUAGGAUCUUUGUAUGCUUGUGCAGUUCUCAACUUUUCUUGCUAGUGGCAUUUUCCUAUGGAAAUGAAGCUACAGAACAUGGAUUUCUGAAUAAUGGCAGUAGAUGUAAGUUCCAAGUUACACUGAGGCACAGUGCACUCAGGGAUUCAUUCCUGAGGUUCUCAUCUGAAGUUGAGCUGAUUUUGCAAUUCUCAUUUGCUGCGCUAUGCUGUCACGGAAGAAAUAAGCUUACAAAUGUCUAGAAUUCACCCAGUUUCACAUAGCAUUUGUUGAAAACCAGGAUGCUUGCCAGUUCGCUGCAUCUAGCAACAUAUCUGUUAUUCAUUUGAUGAUAUACUGCCUCUGCCAUCAGUAUUGGUGGAGAUCUUACACAAGGUGUCAUUCGUAACCCUGAGAGUACAUUAAAGGGAACAUUUUGGGUUAAUUUGUCUGGGAAAGUAGCAGUGAAUUAUCAUUCAAAACAGACAAGAGCAGGGUGCCAAGGUGCCUCAGCUUUUCUUAAGCAGUGUGGAAGCAUAUCACCUACCUUUCUAAAGUUUUUAUAUUUAAACAGUCUAAUUAGAUAUGAGGAAAGAAAAGGAUUGCUUACAUCAACAGUUCUGCACUAAAAAUGAAGAUACUGUAGCAUGGAUACAAUGAGAUGGAAGAGAGUUACAGAAGACCCAGGCAAAGAACACCCUUUUGCACUUAUCUGGUAAAUCCCACAUUGCAGCUAAGAAGAUACUUUUUGAAGAAUGUUCUAUUUUGUAUCUAAGAUAUAUCUAAGUAUAUACUAUUUUGAAGAAUAGUGCAUUCACUGAGAUGUCUUAAAAAUAUAAUGCGUUGUCAUCUAGAACUGAGGCUGCUUCAGCUUCUACAGUGGGAGAAGUACUCUUACAGAGAAGGAAAACCAUUCCUGUUUGUAGUGGAAAUUGUUGCAGGAGCACUCCAGUUUGGAAAAGCACUGCCUGUAAAGACCAAGUGAUCAGAGAAGAUGGGUGGUAGUGCUGAGUUGUUCUUUUUCUUCUUCCUUGUGUGCAUCUUCUGAAAGGAUUCCACAUCUAGUUCUGACUGGAGACAAUGGUCCAUCUCAGAGUUGGUGGGAAAAUGUUCUGUUUUCUCUCAAGGUGGUGCUUUUCAGGCUGGUCUGUGAAUGAUCCCCUUUCUGUGCUAAAUCCUGUGAAUUUGAUUUUGUUACUUCUAAGGUGGAGAAAUCUCUCUGCGUGUCUCCCCAUCUCCAUAGUCCAUUUUCUCAUGAAGCAGCUGAAGGGUAACAGUUACUCACAAAUCACUGAGUUGGGCUGAGGAUGCGCCAGUCCCUCCACUAGAGGGAGGGAGAACGUUAUUUUCAAUUAGCUGUUACUGAUGGUGCAACCAGACUACAUAAAUGCCAGC